rnacentral:rRNA from 1 species
AUACGGAGGAUGCAAGCGUUAUCCGGAUUUAUUGGGUUUAAAGGGUGCGUAGGCGGAUGAUUAAGCGUGAGGUGAAAUGCCACUGCUCAACAGUGGAACUGCCUCGCGAACUGGUUGUCUUGAAUGCUCCUGCCGUGGGAGGAAUGUGUGGUGUAGCGGUGAAAUGCAUAGAGAUCACACAGAACACCGAUUGCGAAGGCAUCUCACGAAGGGGUGAUUGACGCUGAGGCACGAAAGCGUGGGGAUCAAACAGGAUUAGAUACCCUGGUAGUCCACGCCGUAAACGAUGGGCGCUCGUCGUCGGCGGCAGACAGUCGGCGGCCAAGCGAAAGCGAUAAGCGCCCCACCUGGGGAGUACGGUCGCAAGGCUGAAACUCAAAUGAAUUGACGGGG